UGGAUUCAUGAUGACUAAACAAGGAAUGGUUUUUGAGUCAUGGACGGUGACGAGAAAUCUGAGUCUGAGGUCCAC